rnacentral:rRNA from 1 species
CAGCUGCCGCGGGAAUACGAAGGUCCCGAGCGUUGUUCGGAAUCACUGGGCGUAAAGGGAGCGUAGGCGGCGUGGUAAGUCGGAUGUGAAAUCCCGGGGCUCAACCCCGGAACUGCAUCCGAUACUGCCAUGCUAGAGGAUUGGAGAGGUAGCUGGAAUUCUUGGUGUAGCAGUGAAAUGCGUGGAGAUCAAGAGGAACACUCGUGGCGAAAGCGAGCUACUGGACAAUAACUGACGCUGAGGCUCGAAGGCCAGGGUAGCGAAAGGGAUUAGAUACCCCCGUAGUCCCUGUCUCUUAUAC